AGUGAGUCAGCAGCACAGCUCCUCCAGCACGCAGAGAACAGCGGUCCAUGGAGGGAGGGCGUGAGCCUGGGGUUUUACUGAGGAAGGAUGUAAGUCUGGGUUUAACUAAGAGAGGGCGUGAGCCUGGGCUUCGCUGAGGGAGGGCAUGAGCCUGGGGUUCCCUGAGGGAGGGUAUGAGCCUGGGGUUCCCUGAGGGAGGGCCUGAGCCUGGGCUUCACUGAGGGAGGGCGUGAGCCUGGGGUUAUACUGAGGAAGGAUAGUGGGUUUUUCAGUCCCUGAAGCUGCUGCUCUGCCCACUCAGGAAGGUGAGGAAGGCAGACGACAGCGUACAUCCAGCCUCUGCUCUGCCAGGGUCGUUGAUGCCCUUUGGAAUGGAGAGCUGUGAAGGGGAAUGCCUAGGCCUCACAGAGGAGGCUCGUGACCCGGACAGGUGUGGGACUAGGGGCCAUGUCUGUAGCUCCCCUGCCACGGAGCAGAAUCUGCCUCUCCAUAAGCGUUAAGCUCUGGGGACUGUGACAUCCACGCUGGGCCUGGCUCCUGCCUUCCGCCUCCUGCCCAGCCCCUGCCAGCAGCACAUGGUGGAGACCGGUUGCCCAAAGCUCUUGUUCUCAGAUGUGGGCAGAACGGGAAUCUGCCAUGUGCCCGUGGAUUAAAAAAAAGAAACCCAGGCUGCUUUUCUGUCUGUUAGAAGGAGCCUGCACUUCAAGAUAGUGGGGAUGUAUAUUUUAAAAAAUUUCACGCUCAUGGGCCAAAGAUUUUCCCGGGGCUGUGUGCUGAUUUGCAGCCUAUCAUGUGUGGCUUUGGGACACUGGGGAAGGUGUGGAGCAGUUUAAGUGACAAACGGGUUGGAAAAGCAAAGGACACCAGGUGAGGAUGAUGGAAUUUACAUCCUGUUGCUUCCCUGAUAGUUCCUGCCAAUAUGGGAUCCCACUACUAUCUUUCUGCCCUAAAAAUAUGUGUAUAUUGAGAUAGAAACUGUUGUAAUGGCUGCAUGCAUUCAGUAGAGGAAAGGAGAGAAGAAAGAAGGAACAGAUUUAGUCCUGCCCAGAAUCUGCACUUCCACGGAGGACGCCAGGAUAUCACGGGAGAGACUGCAGCUCUGAUCAAAUGGGGCGAGCUCUUGGCAGGAGCCAGCAUGUUCCUGUGUUCCAUUUGGGAGGACAGUUUACUUUAAUGAUGUACUUUGAAAUCAGGUGGACGUCUGUAACUCCUGGACCUUUCGCAGCCUUUCCAGCCACGGUCAUCUCUGUGGAGUCAGGGGCAGGGACUUUGGGAUCAGCUUCUGCCCUUGUGAAAACAGCAGAGCAGCCUGAGAGCCAGGAAGGACCUCACCUGAGUAUCAGAUCACCUCAUCAGGCUGAAUUGUGUGGAUCUAGGGAUUUUAAAGAGGUGAUUAAGGUAAAAUGAGGUUAUUAGGGUGGCCCUUGACCCAGUGUGACUGGUAUCCUCAUAAGAGGAGAUUAGGACACAGCCACACAGAGGGACGACCACCUGAGGAUCCCUGAGAAGAUGGCAUCUGGAAGGUGAGGAGAGAGGCCUCAGAAGGAAUCAACUCUGCUGAUACUUGAUGCCAACUUCCAGCCUCUGAAACUGCGAGCAACGAUGCAGCGAUACGCG
rnacentral:lncRNA from 1 species